rnacentral:rRNA from 1 species
UACGGAGGGAGCAAGCGUUACUCGGAAUUAUUGGGCGUAAAGGGCGCGUAGGUGAUUUGAAAAGUCUUGUGUGAAAGCCCCGAGCUUAACUCGGGAAGUGCACAAGAAACUGUUGAAUUUGAGUUCCGGAGAGGAAGGCAGAAUUCCCGGUGUAGCGGUGAAAUGCGUAGAUAUCGGGAGGAAUACCAGUGGCGAAGGCGGCCUUCUGGACGGAUACUGACGCUGAGACGCGAAAGCGUGGGGAGCGAACAGG